GAUGAACGCUGGCGGCGUGCCUAAUACAUGCAAGUCGAGCGAACGGACGAGAAGCUUGCGUCUCUGAUGUUAGCGGCGGACGGGUGAGUAACGCGUGUAUCACCUACUUAUAAGACUGGGAUAACUUCGGGAAACCGUAUCUAAUACCGGAGAAUAUCUUGAACCGCAUGGUUCAAAAGUGAAAGACGGUGUUGGUGUCUCUUAUAGAUGGAUCCGCGCUGCAUUAGGUAGUUGUGAAGGUAAAGGCUUACCAAGGCAAGCAGGCAUAGCCGACCGGAGAGGGGGAUAGCCCACACGGGAACUGAGACACGGUCCAGACUCCUACGGGACGCAGCAGUCGGGAAUCUUACGCAAUGGGCGAAAGCCUGACGGAGCAACGCCGCGUGAGUGAUGAAGGUCUUCGGAUCGUAAUACUCUGUUAUUAGGGAAGAACAUAUGUGUAAGUAAAUGUGCACAUCUUGACGGUACCUAAUCAGGAAGCCACGGCUAACUACGUG
rnacentral:rRNA from 1 species